rnacentral:rRNA from 1 species
GACGAACGCUGGCGGCGUGCUUAACACAUGCAAGUCGAACGAAGUGGCGAACGGGUGAGUAACGCGUAAUCAACCUGCCCUUCAGAGGGGAACAACAGUUAGAAACGACUGCUAAUACCUCAUACUGAAGGUGGGGAUUGCGUCUGAUUAGCUAGUUGGAGGGGUAACGGCCCACCAAGGCGAUGAUCAGUAGCCGGGCUUGGAGGAUGAACGGGCAAAUCGGGACUGAGACACGGCCCAGAAUUCUACGGGAGGCAGCAGGGGGGAAUCUUUCGAAAUGGAGGAAAGGCUGACGGAGCAAAGCCGCGGGAGUGAUGACGGCCUUCGGGUUGGAAAGCUCUGUUAAGCGGGACGCGGUACCGGAAUAGAAAGCAACGGCUAACUACGUGCCAGCAGCCGCGGUAAUAC